rnacentral:snoRNA from 1 species
AGGAUUAUAAUACACCCAACAGGAAUCUGGGGUCAUUGUGAUGAGGGGUACAAAACUUGUGGCCUGCCUACAAACAAAUUCCCUACAUGU